UACAGAGGGUGCAAGCGUUAAUCGGAAUUACUGGGCGUAAAGCGUGCGUAGACGGUUAUGUAAGUCGGGUGUGAAAGCCCCGGGCUCAACCUGGGAAUGCCAUUCGAGACUGCAUAGCUAGGGUGUGGAAGAGGGAAGUGGAAUUUCCGGUGUAGCGGUGAAAUGCGUAGAUAUCGGAAGGAACAUCAGUGGCGAAAGCGACUUCCUGGUCCAGCAUCGACGUUCAGGCACGAAAGCGUGGGGAGCAAACAGG
rnacentral:rRNA from 1 species